AUUGAACGCUGGCGGCAGGCCUAACACAUGCAAGUCGAGCGGAUGAAGGGAGCUUGCUCCUGGAUUCAGCGGCGGACGGGUGAGUAAUGCCUAGGAAUCUGCCUGGUAGUGGGGGAUAACGUCCGGAAACGGGCGCUAAUACCGCAUACGUCCUGAGGGAGAAAGUGGGGGAUCUUCGGACCUCACGCUAUCAGAUGAGCCUAGGUCGGAUUAGCUAGUUGGUGGGGUAAAGGCCUACCAAGGCGACGAUCCGUAACUGGUCUGAGAGGAUGAUCAGUCACACUGGAACUGAGACACGGUCCAGACUCCUACGGGAGGCAGCAGGGGGGAAUAUUGGACAAUGGGCGAAAGCCUGAUCCAGCCAUGCCGCGUGUGUGAAGAAGGUCUUCGGAUUGUAAAGCACUUUAAGUUGGGAGGAAGGGCAGUAAGUUAAUACCUGGCUGUUUGGACGUUACCAACAGAAUAAGCACCGGCUAACUUCGU
rnacentral:rRNA from 1 species